AUUGAACGCUGGCGGCAUGCUUUACACAUGCAAGUCGAACGGCAGCGCGGGCUUCGGCCUGGCGGCGAGUGGCGAACGGGUGAGUAAUGCAUCGGAACGUGCCCAGUAGUGGGGGAUAGCCCGGCGAAAGCCGGAUUAAUACCGCAUACGACCUGAGGGUGAAAGCGGGGGACCGAAAGGCCUCGCGCUAUUGGAGCGGCCGAUGUCGGAUUAGCUAGUUGGUGGGGUAAAGGCUUACCAAGGCGACGAUCCGUAGCUGGUCUGAGAGGACGACCAGCCACACUGGGACUGAGACACGGCCCAGACUCCUACGGGAGGCAGCAGUGGGGAAUUUUGGACAAUGGGAGCAACCCUGAUCCAGCCAUGCCGCGUGCGGGAAGAAGGCCUUCGGGUUGUAAACCGCUUUUGUUCGGGAAGAAAUCCUCUGGGCUAAUACCCCGGGGGGAUGACGGUACCGGAAGAAUAAGCACCGGCUAACUACGUG
rnacentral:rRNA from 1 species